GACGAACCGUGCGAACGUUAUUCGGAAUCAUUGGGCUUAAAGGGCGCGUAGACGGGUCGGCGCAUCGGACGCUGAAAGCCCCCGGCUUAACCGGGGAACGGGCGCAGAGAUGGCCGGCCUCGAGUGGAGGAGGGGGACCUGGAACUGCCGGUGGAGCGGUGAAAUGCGUUGAGAUCGGCAGGAACGCCGACGGCGAAAGCGAGGUCCUGGACUCCCACUGACGUUGAGGCGCGAAAGCUAGGGGAGCGAACGGG
rnacentral:rRNA from 1 species